rnacentral:rRNA from 1 species
GACGAACGCUGGCGGCGUGCUUAACACAUGCAAGUCGAACGGAAAGGCCCUGCUUUUGUGGGGUGCUCGAGUGGCGAACGGGUGAGUAACACGUGAGUAACCUGCCCUUGACUUUGGGAUAACUUCAGGAAACUGGGGCUAAUACCGGAUAGGAGCUCCUGCUGCAUGGUGGGGGUUGGAAAGUUUCGGCGGUUGGGGAUGGACUCGCGGCUUAUCAGCUUGUUGGUGGGGUAGUGGCUUACCAAGGCUUUGACGGGUAGCCGGCCUGAGAGGGUGACCGGCGACAUUGGGACUGAGGUACGGCACAGACUCCUACGGGAGGCAGCAGUGGGGAAUAUUGCACAAUGGGCGGAAGCCUGAUGCAGCAACGCCGCGUGCGGGAUGACGGCCUUCGGGUUGUAAACCGCUUUCGCCUGUGACGAAGCGUGAGUGACGGUAAUGGGUAAAGAAGCACCGGCUAACUACGUG